GGUCACAUAUUUGCAAUAGAUCUUACCAGUUGAUGCCUUUAUUUACAAUUGUCAUUCAUUGAGAUCUCUCGGUUAUGAGAAAUCACGAUAAUAUUUGUGAUGAACUAAAGCCUAGUAGUUACUAUUUUGCAGUAUCACAUUUUAUGCAUUAAUUGACCAUUCUAUGUGGCACUGCGGUUACAGCCAUAAGACACAUGAUUUUUCAUUUAUGGUAAAUUUACUUUAGAGGCUAGCAUGUGCAUUUUGCGAAUUGAUCGGCACUUUGCAUUGCACAAUUUUAGGUCUAUUUCAUUUUGCUAUCAAUCCAUGUGGAUUGGGUCGGAUUGAGUGUGUUUAAAUCCUAAACAAGUCAAAAUCUUUUUAUAAAUGUUUCCAAUCACAUCCAAUCCAUAUGGGAUAGAAAUAACCGAAUAAGUUCUUAGUAGGUGUUUCCAACUGUUCAUGCAUAAGAGGUUGCACCUAAUGAGGUUGUGAGGCUGACAAGAAAGAGAAGUGGAUGUGCAAUGUGAUGAAACCCAUGGAUAUGCGCAACACCUAGGAAGACUAUGCAUAUUGUGCAACUGAGCUGCUGGACGCAUAAAUAGCAUGAUUUUGUUGCGCAUUUAAUACAUCUGU
rnacentral:lncRNA from 7 species